rnacentral:rRNA from 1 species
GCGCGUAAAUUGCCCGAAUCCUGACACAGGGAGGUAGUGACAAGAAAUAACGAUACAGGGCUACAUCUAGUCUUGUAAUUGGAAUGAGUACAAUUUACAUCUCUUAACGAUGAUCAAUUGGAGGGCAAGUCUGGUGCCAGCAGCCGCGGUAAUUCCAGCUCCAAUAGCGUAUAUUAAAGUUGUUGCAGUUAGAACGCUCGUAGUCGGAUUUCGGGGCAGUCCGACCGGUCUGCCGAUGGGUAUGCACUGGCCGGAGUGUCCUUUUUGCCGGAGACCGUGCCUACUCUUAACUGAGCGGGGGCGGGAGACGGCACUUUUACUUUGAAAAAAUCAGAGUGUUUCAAGCAGGCAGCUCGCUCUUGCAUGGAUUAGCAUGGGAUAAUGAAAUAGGACUUUGGUGCUAUUUUGUUGGUUUCGAACACCGAAGUAAUGAUGAGAAGGGACAGUCAGGGGCACUCGUAUUCC